rnacentral:rRNA from 1 species
CAGGUAGGUGGUCUCAUUUGUCUGGGGUGAAAGCCUUGGGCUUAACCCCAAGAAGUGCCUCGGAAACGGUGAGACUUGAGUACUGGAGAGGGUCGUGGAAUUCCCGGUGUAGCGGUGAAAUGCGUAAAGAUCGGGAGGAACACCAGCGGCGAAGGCGGCGACCUGGACAGUUACUGACACUCAACUGCGAAAGCGUGGGGAGCAAACA